GCCUGGGGAGUACGGCCGCAAGGUUAAAACUCAAAUGAAUUGACGGGGGCCCGCACAAGCGGUGGAGCAUGUGGUUUAAUUCGAUGCAACGCGAAGAACCUUACCUGGUCUUGACAUCCACAGAACUUUCCAGAGAUGGAUUGGUGCCUUCGGGAACUGUGAGACAGGUGCUGCAUGGCUGUCGUCAGCUCGUGUUGUGAAAUGUUGGGUUAAGUCCCGCAACGAGCGCAACCCUUAUCCUUUGUUGCCAGCGGUCCGGCCGGGAACUCAAAGGAGACUGCCAGUGAUAAACUGGAGGAAGGUGGGGAUGACGUCAAGUCAUCAUGGCCCUUACGACCAGGGCUACACACGUGCUACAAUGGCGCAUACAAAGAGAAGCGACCUCGCGAGAGCAAGCGGACCUCAUAAAGUGCGUCGUAGUCCGGAUUGGAGUCUGCAACUCGACUCCAUGAAGUCGGAAUCGCUAGUAAUCGUGGAUCAGAAUGCCACGGUGAAUACGUUCCCGGGCCUUGUACACACCGCCCGUCACACCAUGGGAGUGGGUUGCAAAAGAAGUAGGUAGCUUAACCUUCGGGAGGGCGCUUACCACUUUGUGAUUCAUGACUGGGGUGAAGUCGUAACAAGGUAACCGUAGGGGAACCUGCGGUUG
rnacentral:rRNA from 2 species